rnacentral:rRNA from 1 species
GCAUAAAAAGUAUUAGAGGCACUGCCUGCCCAGUGACUUUGUUUCAACGGCCGCGGUAUCCUGACCGUGCAAAGGUAGCAUAAUCACUUGUUCUCUAAAUAAGGACUCGUAUGAAUGGCUUCACGAGGGUUUUACUGUCUCUUACUUCCAAUCAGUGAAAUUGACCUUCUCGUGAAGAGGCGUGAAUAGAAAAAUAAGACGAGAAGACCCUAUGGAGCUUUAAUUAACCAACUCACAAGUUGUAAUAAUAUUCUACCAGAAACAAACCCACUAUAAUUGAGUUGGCAAUUUAGGUUGGGGUGACCUCGGAAUAAAAACCAACUUCCGAGAAAAUUUCAAUUAAGACAAACAAGUCUAAAUUAUCUUACUAUAUACAUAUUGACCCGUUAAUUCUUAAACGAUCAACGAAACAAGUUACCCUAGGGAUAACAGCGCAAUCCUAUUUAAGAGUCCAUAUCGACAAUUAGGGUUUACGACCUCGAUGUUGGAUCAGGACAUCCCAAUGGUGCAGCAGCUAUUAAUGUGUUCGUUUGUUCAACGAUUAAAGUCCU